rnacentral:rRNA from 1 species
GAAUACCUACGGGGGGCAGCAGUAGGGAAUCUUCCACAAUGGACGAAAGUCUGAUGGAGCAACGCCGCGUGAGUGAAGAAGGGUUUCGGCUCGUAAAGCUCUGUUGGUAGUGAAGAAAGAUAGAGGUAGUAACUGGCCUUUAUUUGACGGUAAUUACUCAGAAAGUCACGGCUAACUACGUGGCAGCAGCCGCGGUAAUACGUAGGUGGCAAGCGUUGUCCGGAUUUAUUGGGCGUAAAGCGAGUGCAGGCGGUUCAAUAAGUCUGAC